UAAGUCGAACGGAACAAAAUACACACCUUUACCUGCACAAUUUUUUUCUACUCUGAGUGGUUAAGAGGUGAAGGUAGGAACGCACUCAGUGAAGUAAAUCAGUUGGCUAUAGAUGGCUCUUUGGUGGAGACCACGAAGUGUCUCUGCUCUCAGCCUUUCCCACACUGACACACACGUUGUGACACACACACACACUGACACACACUCGGGACACUCGGGCUCUUGCUGUCAUGCUUCGAAAACCCCUCGCUGCUCCAGGAGCGGACAAAGCCCGAGCCGUUGAUGAAGGCGAAAGGAGAAACCACGUUGCGGGCGCGCGGGUGACACGUGGGCCGCGCGCGGGCCGCAUCCAUCGGGCCGAGCGAGCGAGCGAGCGAGCGCGCGCACACCGACAGGGACGGGCGUCAAGGUCACGCGGAUCGUGAAAGGUCAUCGGUCUGCGGACGCUCUGGAUCCGCACGUCGCUUCAGUGGACCGAUACAACUGUGCUCAACAAGUUUGCAGUGGAUCCAGCUGGUUUGGCAAGGUCCAUCAGAGUGGCAGCCC